rnacentral:rRNA from 1 species
UACGUAGGCAGCAAGCGUUGUUCGGAGUUACUGGGCGUAAAGGGUGCGUAGGCGGCUCUAUAAGUCUGGUGUGAAAUCUCCCGGCUUAACUGGGAGGGUGCGCUAUAGACUGUGGGGCUAGAGUGUGGGAGAGGAAAGUGGAAUUCCUGGUGUAGCGGUGAAAUGCGUAGAUAUCAGGAGGAACACCAAUGGCGAAGGCAGCACUCUGGGACGUGACUGACGCUGAGACGCGAAAGCGUGGGGAGCAAACAGG